rnacentral:rRNA from 1 species
GAUGAACGCUGGCGGCGUGCCUAAUACAUGCAAGUCGAGCGAAUGGAUUAAGAGCUUGCUCUUAUGAAGUUAGCGGCGGACGGGUGAGUAACACGUGGGUAACCUGCCCAUAAGACUGGGAUAACUCCGGGAAACCGGGGCUAAUACCGGAUAACAUUUUGAACCGCAUGGUUCGAAAUUGAAAGGCGGCUUCGGCUGUCACUUAUGGAUGGACCCGCGUCGCAUUAGCUAGUUGGUGAGGUAACGGCUCCCCAAGGCAACGAUGCGUAGCGGACCUGAGAGGGUGAUCGGCCACCCUGGGACUGAGACACGGCCCAGACUCCUACGGGAGGCAGCAGUAGGGAAUCUUCCUCAAUGGACGAAAGUCUGACGGAGCAACGCCGCGUGAGUGAUGAAGGCUUUCGGGUCGUAAAACUCUGUUGUUAGGGAAGAACAAGUGCUAGUUGAAUAAGCUGGCACCUUGACGGUACCUAACCAGAAAGCCACGGCUAACUACGUGCCAGCCGCCGCGGUAA